rnacentral:rRNA from 1 species
ACGUAGGAGGCUAGCGUUAUCCGGAUUUACUGGGCGUAAAGCGCGUGUAGGCGGUUUCGUAAGUUGGAUGUGAAAGCUCCUAGCUUAACUGGGAGAGGUCGUUCAAGACUGCGAGACUUGAGAGUGGUAGAGGAAGGUGGAAUUCCGGGUGUAGUGGUGAAAUGCGUAGAUAUCCGGAGGAACACCAGUGGCGAAAGCGGCCUUCUGGACCAUUUCUGACGCUCAGACGCGAAAGCUAAGGUAGCAAACGG